GCACGAAAGCGUGGGGAGCAAACAGGAUUAGAUACCCUGGUAGUCCACGCUGUAAACGAUGAGUACUAGGUGUCGUGGGUUACCCCCUUCGGUGCCGCAGCUAGCGAAUUGAAUACACAGCCAGCGACGUAUGCUCGCAAAAGUGAACCUCAAAGGAAUUGACGGGGAUCCGCACAAGUAGCGGAGCAUGUGGGUUGAUUCGAAGCAACGCGAAG
rnacentral:rRNA from 1 species